GGGGUGGUGGCGCAGUUGGUUAGCGCGUAGGUCUCAUAAUCCUGAGGUCGAGAGUUCGAGCCUCUCUCACCCCA